rnacentral:rRNA from 1 species
AACGAACGCUGGCGGCAUGCCUAACACAUGCAAGUCGAACGAGACCUUCGGGUCUAGUGGCGCACGGGUGCGUAACGCGUGGGAACCUGCCCUUAGGUUCGGAAUAACUCCCCGAAAGGGGCGCUAAUACCGGAUAAUGUCUUCGGACCAAAGAUUUAUCGCCUUUGGAUGGGCCCGCGUUGGAUUAGCUAGUUGGUAGGGUAAAAGCCUACCAAGGCGACGAUCCAUAGCUGGUCUGAGAGGAUGAUCAGCCACACUGGGACUGAGACACGGCCCAGACUCCUACGGGAGGCAGCAGUGGGGAAUAUUGGACAAUGGGCGAAAGCCUGAUCCAGCAAUGCCGCGUGAGUGAUGAAGGCCUUAGGGUUGUAAAGCUCUUUUACCCGGGAUGAUAAUGACAGUACCGGGAGAAUAAGCGCCGGCUAACUCCGUG